rnacentral:lncRNA from 1 species
GACGACAACACCAUCCUCUUGCCCCCUUCCCCAACAACAUAAGCCAUUUGAACAGCUUCCCAAAUCUCCUCCUUCAGGUCCUUGAGCAAUUGAGUCCAUUUCUUAUCCACAAGAGGGACUCUGGUGCAUGCCAAAACACCAAUGUAACUCUGCAUCUCAAUAGCAGCCUUGCCAUGUGGUCUGCCAUUUUUAUUGUACU